rnacentral:rRNA from 1 species
UACGAAAGGUGCGAACGUUGCUCGGAAUUACUGGGCGUAAAGCGCACGUAGGCGGCCUAGUAAGAGGGGGGUGAAAUACCAGGGCUCAACCCUGGAACUGCCUUCAUACCUGCAAAGCUAGAGGAUGCGAGAGGUUAGCGGAAUUCCGAGUGUAGAGGUGAAAUUCGUAGAUAUUCGGAAGAACACCAGUGGCGAAGGCGGCUAACUGGAACAUUUCUGACGCUGAGGUGCGAAAGCGCGGGGAGCAAACAGG